AGCAGCCGCGGUAAUUCCAGCUCCAAUAGCGUAUAUUAAAGUUGUUGCAGUUAAAAAGCUCGUAGUUGAAUUUUAGGCCCGGCCGGACGGUCCGUCUCGGCGAGUACUGUUCUGUCGUCGGGUCUAUCCUUCUGGUGAGCCGGUAUGUUCUUAAUUGGGCGCGUCGGGGAACCAGGACCAUUACCUUGAAAAAAUUAGAGUGUUUAAAGCAGGCUUUUGCUUGAAUAGAUUAGCAUGGAAUAAUAGAAUAGGACGGUGGUCCUGUUUUGUUGGUUUCUGAAUCACCGUAAUGAUUAAUAGGGAUAGUUGGGGGCAUUAGUAUUCAAUUGUCAGAGGUGAAAUUCCUGGAUUUAC
rnacentral:rRNA from 1 species